UUGCAUCUCAAGAUGAUGACUCACUGGGUUGUCACUAUCCUCGAUGCAGCUACUUAGUAAGCAGUCCUAUGCUCGGAUGAAGAACCAAUAUUUCCCAAAUAACCAUAAAGACAUCCAAGUUCUAACCCUUUUAAAUUAGGAAGUUGGCUUAAGAAGGUUAAAGCUGCUGGUGACAGUAGCAGAAAGCCCCAAGUCAUCCAAGAAACAGCCACCAAGAUGCACACAAACCUCGCCUCCCACCAGGGAUUAGAUUCCUAGUCCGAUCCUGUAAUUUGAGAUGAUUCUUAUCCUAUAUAGUCCAGAAAUUCCACUGGACGUUGUCGUAAUGGAAUGAUAUACAUAAUGAACAAAUGCCUCCAUAAUUUUGUUUAGCAGAUUCAUGGAAAACCAAAUAACUAUCAAGAAAGAAAAAGGAUUACCAAAUAACUACGACUGUAGAUUAUUUUUCCCCAUGCUCAGAUCAUGUUAGCUGAAGGAAACGUAAUAUUUCUGGAUAGGAAUUAC
rnacentral:lncRNA from 1 species